rnacentral:rRNA from 1 species
AGCAUAUCAAUAAGCGGAGGAAAAGAAACCAACAGGGAUUGCCCCCAGUAACGGCGAGUGAAGCGGCAACAGCUCAAAUUUGAAAUCUGGCCCCUAGGGUCCGAGUUGUAAUUUGUAGAGGAUGCUUUUGGUGAGGUGCCGCCCGAGUUCCCUGGAACGGGACGCCACAGAGGGUGAGAGCCCCGUCUGGCUGGCCACCGAGCCUCUGUAAAGCUCCUUCGACGAGUCGAGUAGUUUGGGAAUGCUGCUCAAAAUGGGAGGUAUAUGUCUUCUAAAGCUAAAUAUUGGCCAGAGACCGAUAGCGCACAAGUAGAGUGAUCGAAAGAUGAAAAGCACCUUGAAAAGAGGGUUAAAUAGUACGUGAAAUUGUUGAAAGGGAAGCGCUUGUGACCAGACUUGGGCGCGGCGGAUCAUCCGGGGUUCUCUCCGGUGCACUUCGCCGCGUCUAGGCCAGCAUCAGUUCGUCGCGGGGGAAAAAGGCUUCGGGAACGUGGCUCCUCCGGGAGUGUUAUAGCCCGUUGCAUAAUACCCUGCGGUGGACUGAGGACCGCGCAUCUGCAAGGAUGCUGGCGUAAUGGUCACCAGCGACCCGUCUUGAAACACGGACCAAGGAGUCGUCUUCGUAUGCGAGUGUUCGGGUGUCAAACCCCUACGCGUAAUGAAAGUGAACGCAGGUGAGAGCUUCGGCGCAUCAUCGACCGAUCCUGAUGUUCUCGGAUGGAUUUGAGUAAGAGCAUACGGGGCCGGACCCGAAAGAAGGUGAACUAUGCCUGUAUAGGGUGAAGCCAGAGGAAACUCUGGUGGAGGCUCGCAGCGGUUCUGACGUGCAAAUCGAUCGUCAAAUAUGGGCAUGGGGGCGAAAGACUAAUCGAACCUUCUAGUAGCUGGUUUCCCCAA